ACAAAUACAUCAAUAGAGUUCACCAAAUCUCAACUAGGAAAAGAAAGCAAGUUAGCCACUCAUGGUGAACUUCAAUAUAAAAAAGCUUCUUAAAAAUUAAAAAGAUGAGGAAGAUGAAAAGAGGGUGCGACAUCUGCAACUAUCGCUGUGUGCUGCCUCCGGAAGAAAGAAGAUGAUGAACCUACUCCGCAGCUGCGAUUUUAUAACCCAAGGAGAUUAGGAUGUUUUUUCUUUUGUUGAUUAUGAACAUUUUUCUUGAUUUUUGGCUUAUCCCCAAAUCUUGGCUGGAAGGAGAUCUUUUUCAAAUUUAAAAAACGUGCAUUUUCAUUUAAGUCAGCUGCCGUGCGCGAUGCUUAGACUUGCCCAAGGCUAAGUUGUCCGAGGUGGGACCUGCUGCUGACUGCUGAAUCCAAGCCUUGCCUAAAGAUUGUUUUUAGGCUGAUGAUUUUUUUCACAAACUCUUCCUAUUUUUGUGUUGUUUUUUUCUUAUUUCAUCAUUAUCUGCUAUCAUGCUACAAAAUAUAAAAAAUAGUUCAAAUUAGAUAACAUACUAUCAGGUUUAACAAUUCAAAAGUUGGUAAUAAUGAUGUCGUUUUUAGGCACUAUGAACUUUAUUUUACGAAUAUGACUCGAAGUAAGAUUACAUAUUCCUACUUUAAUUUUAAAACUUAAUUCGACUCAGAUACUUAAUUGAAAAUAAUAAAACAAUUAAAAUUUUAAUCUAAACUCAAAAUAAAUUAAUAAAAUAUUACCAACUUAUUUGAAGUAGACUUCUCUUCUUCUUCCCAAUUUCAUCAUGUGGCUUUUAUCUCUUUUAGACUUCAAUUUUGUGUAAGAGUUCUCUUUGUUGCUGCAUAGGAAUAAUGUAGAAAUUAGGAAAAGAUAAGAGGAGUCCAAGCCGGACUCAGCUUGCUAUACACGCUGUCCAGGUGCACAUGGAAGCUUCCCCAAGCGCGUGUGGCCUAGGUGUAUGUGCGGCAGGAACAACCCUCACAGGUGCAUCCCAUUGAGCAACCUAGGUGUGUGGGCGCUCAUGUGCACGCGCGACAACAUCUACCUGCACAAGUGCACCUCCUGUGCCCGGUUCCCCUGUGCAGACUGCCCGUAGGCAUGCGAGACUUCCCCUGCGCAUAGUGGCCGCAUGUUUGUUCUGUCUUCUCCCGCACAACCUGUUGACUUUAGCGUGCGGCAUGGUCUUCUUGGCACGCACAAUAUAAUUCCAUGUGUACAGCCUCGACUGGGAUGUGGGCUUCUCACCCCGCACAUAUGGACCUUUGCGUGCACACCCAAUGGGCUUUCAAAUCCAUGUCUUGGCAGGGGUUUCUUCUCAU
rnacentral:lncRNA from 1 species